rnacentral:rRNA from 1 species
AGAGUUUGAUCCUGGCUCAGGAUGAACGCCGGCGGUGUGCCUAAUACAUGCAAGUCGAACGCGUUGGCCCAACUGAUUGGACGUGCUUGCACGGACUUGACGUUGGUUUACCAGCGAGUGGCGGACGGGUGAGUAACACGUAGGUAACCUGCCCCAAAGCGGGGGAUAACAUUUGGAAACAGAUGCUAAUACCGCAUAACAAUUUGAAUCGCAUGAUUCAAAUUUAAAAGAUGGCUUCGGCUAUCACUUUGGGAUGGACCUGCGGCGCAUUAGCUUGUUGGUAGGGUAACGGCCUACCAAGGCUGUGAUGCGUAGCCGAGUUGAGAGACUGAUCGGCCACAAUGGAACUGAGACACGGUCCAUACUCCUACGGGAGGCAGCAGUAGGGAAUCUUCCACAAUGGGCGCAAGCCUGAUGGAGCAACACCGCGUGAGUGAAGAAGGGUUUCGGCUCGUAAAGCUCUGUUGUUAGAGAAGAACGUGCGUGAGCGUAACUGUUCACGCAGUGACGGUAUCUAACCAGAAGUCACGGCUAACUACGUGCCAGCAGCCGCGGU